GCGGAUAUAACUCAGUUGGUUAGAGUACCAGAUUGUGGCUUUGGACGACGGGGGUUCAAGUCCCCUUAUUCGCCG
rnacentral:tRNA from 5 species